rnacentral:ncRNA from 1 species
CACACUAUCGUUAAGUGAAUACAUAGCUUAACGAAGCGAACCAGGGGAACUGAAACAUCUAAGUACCCUGAGGAAAAGAAAUCAACCGAGAUUCCCCCAGUAGCGGCGAGCGAACGGGGAGCAGCCCAGAGUCUGAAUCAGCAUGUGUGUCAGUGGAAGCGUCUGGAAAGUCGCAGGGUACAGGGUGAUACUCCCGUACACGAAGAUGCAU